UACGAAGGGUGCAAACGUUGCUCGGAAUUAUUGGGCGUAAAGCGCACGUAGGCGGCUUGGCAAGUCGGAUGUGAAAUCCCUCGGCUCAACCAAGGAAGUGCAUCCGAAACUGCUGAGCUUGAGUACUUAAGAGGAUCGCGGAAUUCCCGGUGUAGAGGUGAAAUUCGUAGAUAUCGGGAGGAACACCAGUGGCGAAGGCGGCUUCCUGGCCUGCUCUUGACGCUGAGGCGCGAAAGCUAGGGUAGCAAACGGG
rnacentral:rRNA from 1 species